GACGAACGCUGGCGGCGUGCCUAAUACAUGCAAGUCGAACGCAGUGGGGACGGGUGAGUAACACGUGGGUAACCUCCCAUCAGAGGGGAAAACACUUGGAAACAGGUGCUAAACAGAUAUUGAUGGAUGGACACGCGUGGCAUUAGCUAGUUGGUGAGGGAACGGCUCACCAAGGCCACGAGUCAUAGCCGUCCUGAGAGGGUGAGCGGCCACACUGGGACGGAGACACGGCCCAGACUCCUACGUGAGGCAGCAGUAGGGAAUCUGCGGCAAUGGACGAAAGUCUGACCGAGCAACGCCGCGUGAGUGAAGAAGGUUUUCGGAUCGUAAAACUCUGUUGUUAGAGAAGCGGUAUCUAACCAGAAAGCCACGGCUAACUACGUGCCAGCCGCCGCGGUAAUAC
rnacentral:rRNA from 1 species